rnacentral:rRNA from 1 species
GAUCCUGCCAGUAGUCAUAUGCUUGUCUCAAAGAUUAAGCCAUGCAUGUCUAAGUACAGGCCGAUAUACGGCGAAACCGCGGACGGCUCAUUAAAUCAGAUAUAAUUCAUUGGAUCUGUACAACCCACUUACUUGGAUAACUGUGGUAAUUCUAGAGCUAAUACAUGCCUUUAGAGACUCUGACAGUAAUGGAAGAGCGCUUUUAUUAGUUCAAAACCCUUCGGACCUUGGGCCAAGAGACUUGGUGAAUCUAAAUAACUUUUGCUGAGCGCACGUUCUUCGAAUCGGCGCCGCAUCUUGCAAGUGUCUGCCUUAUCAGCUCUCGAUUGUAGGUUAAACGCCUACAAUGGCUAUAACGGGUAACGGGGAAUCAGGGUUCGAUUCCGGAGAGGGAGCCUGAGAAACGGCUACCACAUCUAAGGAAGGCAGCAGGCGCGCAAAUUACCCACUCCCGGCACGGGGAGGUAGUGACGAAAAAUACUGUUGCGAGACUCCAUCGAGGCUUCGCAAUUGGAAUGAGUACACUUUAAAUCCUUGUACGAGGACCAAGUGGAGGGCAAGUCUGGUGCCAGCCGCCGCGGUAAUUCCAGCUCCACUAGCGUAUAUUAAAGUUGUUGCAGUUAAAAAGCUCGUAGUUGGAUCUCUGUUCUGGACUGGCGGUUCACCUUAGCGGUGCUUACUGUACAGCUCCGAGCUAUAUCCCCGCCGGCUCGCUCGGGGUGCUCUUCACCGAGUGUCCCGUGUGGCCGGCACGUUUACUUUGAAAAAAUUAGAGUGCUCAGAGCAGGCUAUACUAACAGCCUGAAUGGUGGUGCAUGGAAUAAUGGAAUAGGACCUCGGUUCUAUUUUGUUGGUUUUCGGAACCCGAGGUAAUGAUUAAGAGAAGCAGACGGGGGCAUUCGUACUGCGACGAUAGAGGUGAAAUUCUUAGACCGUCGCAUGACGAGCUACUGCGAAAGCAUUUGCCAAGGAUGUUUUCAUUAAUCAAGAACGAAAGUUAGAGGUUCGAAGGCGAUCAGAUACCGCCCUAGUUCUAACCAUAAACGAUGCUGACUAGCGAUCCGCCGCAGUUAUUCCCAUGACCCGGCGGGGAGCUUCCGGGAAACCAAAGUAUUUGAGUUCCGGGGGAAGUAUGGUUGCAAAGCUGAAACUUAAAGGAAUUGACGGAAGGGCACCACCAGGAGUGGAGCCUGCGGCUCAAUUUGACUCAACACGGGGAAUCUUACCAGGCCCAGACACUGGAAGGAUUGACAGAUUGAAAGCUCUUUCUCGAUUCGGUGGGUGGUGGUGCAUGGCCGUUCUUAGUUGGUGGAGUGAUUUGUCUGGUUAAUUCCGAUAACGAACGAGACUCUAGCCUAUUAACUAGUCGACGGAUCUUAUAAUACUACUGCUGCUUGCUGCUGCCGCUACUGUGGUAGUGGCUUGCAGUGGUGCUAUGAAUCCGUUGUUUUUAUAUAUAUAAAUGAAAAUGGUGUCCAGUUCGCAGCUUCUUCUUAGAGGGAUAAGCGGCAGCAAAAAAAAUACUAGCCGCACGAGAGAUUGAGCCAUAACAGGUCUGUGAUGCCCUUAGAUGUUCUGGGCCGCACGCGCGCUACAAUGGAGAGUUCAGCAAGCUAUCCCUGCUCCGACAGGAGUGGGUAACCUUAUCAAAGCUGUCCUUAAAGGGGAUUGGGGCUUGCAAAUGUGUCCCAUGAACGAGGAAUUCCCAGUAGGCGCAAUUCACCAGAUUGCACCGAUUUAGUCCCUGCCCUUUGUACACACCGCCCGUCGCUACUACCGAUUGAAUGGUCUAGUGAGGGCAUCGGACUGGCGCCCUUGGAGUUACUGCUUGCUGGCUAUAAGGAGGAUGCUGUCUCUCAACGAGCAGUGUUGUUCUUCAGCAGCAGCCGCCUCGGGUCGACGGAAAGAUGUCCGAGCUGGGU